GGGGUUGUGGCUCAGUGGUAGAGCACUCGCCUAACAUGCAGGAGGCCCUGGGUUCGAUCCUCAACACCA
rnacentral:tRNA from 1 species